CGUGCCUAAAAUCCCAAGAAGAGAAUAGAAGAGAAGACAGGAAGACCUUGUUUUUCAGGCCUCAGGAAACUGUUGAUAGAAUGAAGGAGGUUAGAACUGUGAGUGGAUACCCUGAACCUGUGAGUCAUCCAUCACCCAUUCACAACGGCAUCCCGGAUGGAAGAGAGAUGAGGAUUAAAAAUCAUCAUUAGGGGCCAGCA